GAAAUACAUGACAACAUAUAAGCAUCAUCCCUGUGCACCAAGGUUUGUCUGCACCUCCUCUAUAAUGCAAGAUCAUUAAGGAGUCCAAUAUCCACUCUACCUAUGCUGUCUACAUUUUUCCCAAGUUUGACUGGUUCUGGCUGUGCAUACUCACUCUACUGAAUGAACACAGACACUGAGGCCAGGAGUUCCAUGGAGCAAUGUGUAAUGUGGCGUGUCAUGCAGAGGGAUGGUACAGAGCCAGAGCCAGAGCCUGACCCAGAGGACACCGGUGUCCUGAGGGGAAAAAAUGGAGGUCUUCAGUGGAAUGGGGAGCAUUAUGCUCGCUUUGGUAGGAAGUGAUGUGAAGGUGCCGGUGAUGAUUUUGAGGGACACGGGGGCUUUUGAUUCUUUCAUUCAGGCUGGAGUUUUGCCCUUAUCCAAAGAAUCUGAAACAGGCAGCUCCGUUCCUGUUCGUGGAAUGGAUUAAAUGUUUUGUUUGUUCCAUUGCACAAAGUGAUUAAUUUUAAUGUGUUCCAUUGUGAGGUUAAGAUAGCUGUGCGCCCAGCGUUGUCGACCCAGGGAAUUUCUGUGAUCCUGGGUAAUGAUAUGGUGAGUGCUCGUGUGCGUGUCCCUGUGUCAAUAUUCCACAGUGAUCUGGUUGUAGAGCAGCAGGUUGACCCCUCCCUGAGGGAGCUGUUUCAGCAGGUUCGGCCUGAGAGUGAGGUUGUGGACAGUGCUUGUGGUUAAUUUCUACAGAUUUCGCUGUUGGUGACAAAGUGGGUGAAGCACAGUGGGAGUUUUGUCGGGGAUCCCGUUUUUCAAAUAGUUUUGCCAGCUGAACUCUGUCAGUCAGUGUUAAAAGUAGCUCAUGAGUUAGAGAGGCCAAUGAGGUAUGUAUUUUAUCGUGUUAAUUGCUUUGCCGUAUGUGAACGUGUGUUAUGUGACUGUGUGUUAAUGUAUAAUUAGUCAAUUAAGUGUAUUUUCUUAUGUGUUGAAUGUGCAUUUUAUUUAUUCAUUUUGUAUGUAUUUUUCGUUUAUUAUUAUGUGUAAAACACCACAUUUAGAGGGUUAAUUUAAGUUUUACUUAUUUCCUUUCAUAGUUCUGACGGCAUUGUUGGGACAUAAAAGGGCUGUAAGACUAACAUGUACAAGACAUUUUGAAGACUCGUGUCCGAAUAAAUGUCUGUUAAAAAUCAAG